UACGAAGGGGGCUAGCGUUGCUCGGAAUCACUGGGCGUAAAGCGCACGUAGGCGGCUUUUUAAGUCAGAGGUGAAAUCCUGGAGCUCAACUCCAGAACUGCCUUUGAUACUGGGAAUCUUGAGUAUGGAAGAGGUGAGUGGAACUGCGAGUGUAGAGGUGAAAUUCGUAGAUAUUCGCAAGAACACCAGUGGCGAAGGCGGCUCACUGGCCCGAUACUGACGCUGAGGCACGAAAGCGUGGGGAGCAAACAGGG
rnacentral:rRNA from 1 species